UACGAAGGGGGCUAGCGUUGUUCGGAUUUACUGGGCGUAAAGCGCACGUAGGCGGAUUGUUAAGUCGGGGGUGAAAUCCUGGAGCUCAACUCCAGAAUUGCCUUCGAUACUGGCUUUCUAGAGGCUGGAAGAGGUUAGUGGAACUCCUAGUGUAGAGGUGGAAUUCGUAGAUAUUAGGAAGAACACCAGUGGCGAAGGCGGCUCACUGGUCCGGUACUGACGCUGAGGUGCGAAAGCGUGGGGAGCAAACAGG
rnacentral:rRNA from 1 species